UGACCACCUGGGCUUUUCCAGGGCGAGGCCAUACGGACAGCCGGGUCAACUGCCGA
rnacentral:sRNA from 1 species